AGUGAAAAAUUAAACGGCCGCGGUACCCUAACCGUGCAAAGGUAGCGUAAUCAUUUGUCUACUAAUUAUAGACUAGUAUGAAAGGCAAAAUGAGGGCUUAACUGUCUCUUAUAGUAAAUCAAUUAAACUGAUCUACCAGUAAAAAAGCUGGAAUACUCACAUAAGACCAGAAGACCCUGUGAAGCUUUAACUAAACUAUUAAAUCAUAUAAUAAUUAAUUUCGGUUGGGGCGACCAUGGAAAACAAGAAAACUUCCAUAACACAACUACCACACCACAGGCCAACAAGCCACAGUACGACCCAGCAUAGCUGACAAUUGAACCAAGUUACUCCAGGGAUAACAGCGCCAUCUUCUUCAAGAGCCCAUAUCAAAAAGAAGGUUUACGACCUCGAUGUUGGAUCAGGACAUCCUAA
rnacentral:rRNA from 1 species